CACAACCUAUGUCCUAUCUUGCUAACGCCCUUCCUACCCUUCAAUAGGAGAAAUUGGUUCCAUGAUUUGCAUUAAAAAAUUUAUUAUAGAUAAUUUGAACUAUGUAAAUUUAAUUAGAAAGUUACCAUCAAAAAAACAUAAUUCAUAUAAAAAAGAAUUAGGUUGACUAAAAAUUGCAUAUUCUCUUAGCAAAAUCUAUAGGGAAGCCACCAUCAUAAAGGAUAGAAUUUAUCCUCUGCGAAAGAUGUGAUUAGGGCUGAGCGAAUACAUGAUGAUUUCAGAAUCGAAUACUUGGAAAUUGGCAAUCGUAUGUGAUUUUUCAUUCUAAUGGGUCUUUCAGACUCAUAAAUUACUGAAAACAUUGCAUUUAUCACUCAGUUUACUGAGUUGCCACAAACAAUAAGAAACAUGUUUCACCAAUGAAUUACCAGGGAGAAGAGUGUGCAUUCAAAAUAUAUAGCUCAAACAAAAAAUGACUGAUUCAUCUCAGUCUUUGGCGAAUAAAAAAAAAA